rnacentral:rRNA from 1 species
UACGUAGGGUGCAAGCGUUAAUCGGAAUUACUGGGCGUAAAGCGUGUGCAGGCGGUUGUGCAAGACAGAUGUGAAAUCCCCGGGCUCAACCUGGGAAUUGCAUUUGGGACUGCACGGCUAGAGUGUGUCAGAGGGGGGUAGAAUUCCACGUGUAGCAGUGAAAUGCGUAGAGAUGUGGAGGAAUACCGAUGGCGAAGGCAGCCCCCUGGGAUAACACUGACGCUCAUGCACGAAAGCGUGGGGAGCAAACAGG